rnacentral:rRNA from 1 species
CAGUCGCCACGGUAAGACAGAGGAUGCAAGCGUUAUCCGGAAUGAUUGGGCGUAAAGCGUCUGUAGGUGGCUUUUCAAGUCCGCCGUCAAAUCCCAGAGCUCAACCCUGGACAGGCGGUGGAAACUACCAAGCUGGAGUACGGUAGGGGCAGAGGGAAUCUCCGGUGGAGCGGUGAAAUGCGUUGAGAUCGGAAAGAACACCAACGGCGAAAACACUCUGCUGGGCCGACACUGACACUGUGAGACGAAAGCUAGGGGAGCAAAUGGGAUUAGAUCCCCAGUAGUCCCUGUCUCUUAUACA